rnacentral:sRNA from 1 species
GCUUAGCCCCGAUGGAAACGGCAUCCUUUUUAUGCUGAAUUUAUUUCAGGAGAAAAAGAUACAGUGAACAGCGGGAAAAUUA